rnacentral:rRNA from 1 species
AUGAACGCUGGCGGCGUGCCUAAUACAUGCAAGUCGAGCGAACAGACGAGGAGCUUGCUCCUCUGACGUUAGCGGCGGACGGGUGAGUAACACGUGGAUAACCUACCUCUAAGACUGGGAUAACUUCGGGAAACCGGAGCUAAUACCGGAUAAUAUAUUGAACCGCAUGGUUCAAUAGUGAAAGACGGUUUUGCUGUCACUUAUAGAUGGAUCCGCGCCGCAUUAGCUAGUUGGUAAGGUAACGGCUUACCAAGGCAACGAUGCGUAGCCGACCUGAGAGGGUGAUCGGCCACACUGGAACUGAGACACGGUCCAGACUCCUACGGGAGGCAGCAGUAGGGAAUCUUCCGCAAUGGGCGAAAGCCUGACGGAGCAACGCCGCGUGAGUGAUGAAGGUCUUCGGAUCGUAAAACUCUGUUAUUAGGGAAGAACAAAUGUGUAAGUAACUAUGCACGUCUUGACGGUACCUAAUCAGAAAGCCACGGCUAACUACGUG